AGACUGAAAUAAAAGAACCCGUGCCUGCUUCUUUCAGCCAGGACCAUCAGUUAAGGCCCAUGGGGAAAACUGCUGCUGAUGAAAACCCCACAGCUCAGAAAUUUAUUGUUAUUCAAGAAAGUCUGACAAGGCAGAUUCUCUUACCAUUUCCCACAUUCUCUUGUCUCCUGGGUGACCUGUAACGCACCAUGCUUCGAACCCCUUUAAACAACUUCUCAAACAAACAAACACCCAUGAGCCCCUCAACAACUGAGCAGCCAUGAACUAGAAGCACCAUAAACAGGGCAGAGACAGGAUAAAUUCCAACUGAUGGAUUCUCUACAUGAGGGGGAGCUGCCAAGAGUCACCCCACAGCGGAGGGAGAGGGCAUCAAAUCCGGUUCCCUCUGGAGUCCACACCCAAGUGAGUCCAUUCCAGGCAAGCUACGCCAGUGAACACAGCACAGCCACUGGUGAAAGACACGGGGGACCGGAAGCUUAGAUAAGAGCCUGGGAAGGCCACAGCGGAUUGUGAGCGUCAGAAAACAAUCCCAGUCCCUCAUCUGCCCGAGACUGGCUGCCAACUGUCACAUUCUGAAAGGAGACAGAUUGUUGAAGUGCAUGCGAACUGGUAGCUGCACCCUCUCACUCAAGUGAUCCUCUUUCCAUAUAUUUACACCACUUAACUCCCUCCGAUGUAUUGGACAAGGAAAAAAGGGUACUUAAAAAAAAACAUAAAUGUUCCUUGUCAGAUACAUUUUAAUAGCCCAAAUAUUUUUCAUAAUAAAAAGCAAAAAAAAAGGCUAAUUGCAUAAGGUAAUUUAUUCAGUUAGAUAUGUGACACUCCCCAGAUGUCCAGAGAGCAGGUUCAAAACCCUGAAUAAAGAAAGCUCUAUGCCCCCUUCCCCAAAAAACCACCAACUAUGUCUGCCAGUUUUCAAAUCUCGUAAACUCAUGAAGUUGGUUAAACUUUGAACUUUGGCUUGGUUUUGGAUAACAAGAACCACCGGGUAGUUGUCUGAGGAAGAAGUGUUUUGUAGAGCAGGUAAAACCAUACGUACUCUCUGGGCUGCAUGGUUUUGUUACCUUACAUCUGGAAGCCAAUGCUACGGACGCAAACUGGCUGCUAAGAUAGUGUCCCUGUGCCCUGGCUGUGUGACUCUGGCAACUUGCUCAUCCUUUGUGGGUCUGUGGAUCAGCUGUAACACUGAGAUCCUCUUCUCUCAUGAUGGAAGGAAAUGACAGAAGGGAAACGCUUACCCCAGAGAGUAUGUAUGAUCUGAGGAGAUCUGCAGAUCUGAGGAGAACUCACCUCCUUUCCUUUCUCCUGCUCUCACUCCCUGAAAUGCCCAAGCAGACUCUGCUCCCUUCCAUCCAGCUCAGCAAGUGCCAUGUUCUCUAGAAGACUUGAUGACGCCCAUGCUCAAGACACUGUUGGUCCAGCGGUUUGCUUAGCUCUACCUGUUGGGGACUUGAGGUAUCUUCUGCAAUCUGCAUAAACAGCCCCCCAUGGUUCUGUUGUGGGACUUCCCUUAAAAUAAAAAAUACCUCCAGAAAGAUGGUGACACUUCAUGACUCCAGGAGACAGAAAAGCAGGAAUCAACUCUAUGAGAAACUGAAGAGAAAGUGCUGUACCACGUGGCAAGUGAGUUAGCCGGUCUUAUCAGAAUCAUAUUGGGUGACAUAAAUUUUUUCACCCCCCCAGAGAACUGACCUCUAAGAGUUGCAGAAAAACCCCCUCUACACUUCAAGCCCUGCUUGUCUACUAUCAAUUUCCCUCCUCUUAUUUGUGUGUAUGUCUGUGUGUGUGUGUUUCUGUCUAUAUAUGUAUAUGUAUAUACACAUGCACACACAUAUGAAAGCCAGAAGAUAACCUUGGGUAUUUUUCCUCAGGCAUCAUCCUGACAGGCUCUUUCAUUG